rnacentral:rRNA from 1 species
AACGAACGCUGGCGGCAGGCCUAACACAUGCAAGUCGAACGCUCGUAGCAAUACGAGAGUGGCAGACGGGUGAGUAACACGUGGGAACCUUCCCUAUGGUUCGGAAUAGCCCAGGGAAACUUGGGGUAAUACCGGAUAAGCCCUUCGGGGAAAGGAUUUAUCGCCAUUGGAUGGGCCCGCGUCGGAUUAGCUAGUUGGUGGGGUAACGGCCUACCAAGGCGACGAUCCGUAGCUGGUCUGAGAGGAUGAUCAGCCACACUGGGACUGAGACACGGCCCAGACUCCUACGGGAGGCAGCAGUGGGGAAUAUUGGACAAUGGGCGCAAGCCUGAUCCAGCCAUGCCGCGUGAGUGACGAAGGUCUUCGGAUCGUAAAGCUCUUUUGGCGGGACGAUAAUGACGGUACCCGCAGAAUAAGCCCCGGCUAACUUCGUGCCAGCAGCCGCGGUAAC